rnacentral:rRNA from 1 species
ACAUGCAAGUCGAACGAAGUAGCAAUACUUAGUGGCAGACGGGUGAGUAACAUGUAGGUAUCUGCCCUUUGGCCUGGAAUAACACGAGGAAACUUGUGCUAAUACCGGAUAAGUCUUUACGGAGAAAGCUUUAUGCACCAUUGGAUGAGCCUGCACUUGAUUAGUUUGUUGGUGGGGUAAUGGCCUACCAAGACUGUGAUCAAUAGCUGAUUUGAGAGGAUGAUCAGCCACAUUGGGACUGAGACACGGCCCAAACUCCUACGGGAGGCAGCAGUGGGGAAUCUUGCACAAUGGAGGAAACUCUGAUGCAGCGAUGCCGCGUGAGUGAAGAAGGCCCUUGGGUUGUAAAGCUCUUUCGUCGGGGAAGAAAAUGACUGUACCCGAAUAAGAAGGUCCGG